rnacentral:rRNA from 1 species
GGGUCAGUAGGUUGGUCGUGCCACCGGUACGUACUGGUCUCACCGAUUCCUCCUUCCUGAAGAACCGUAAUGCCAUUAAUUUGGUGUUGCGGGGAAACAGGAUUGUUACUUUGAAAAAAUUAGAGUGUUUAAAGCAAGCUAACGCUUGAAUACAUUAGCAUGGAAUAAUGAAAUAGGACGAUCGAUCCUAUUUUGUUGGUUUCUAGGAUUGACGUA